GUGGAUUAAAAUGUUCACUUUAUUCCUGAAACCCAGGCUGGCUGCUCUAAGUUGAUCUGGUGCCUUGGUCACUCGUGGCUUCUUUCUUCUAUGCCAGCUCUGUCUUCUCUACACUUCCUCUGGAGGAGUAGGCCUUGACACAAUUACAAGAAGUCAGGGACCCUGAACAGAGGGACCAGCUGAAGUCACAGCAGAAGAACAUAAAUUGUGAAGAUUUCAUGGACAUUUAUUAGUUCCCCAAAUUAAUACUUUUAUAAUUUCUUAUGCCUGUCUUUACUGCAAUCUCUGAACAUAAAUUGUGAAGAUUUCAUGGACAUUUAUCACUUCCCCAAUCAAUACUCUUAUAAUUUCCUAUGCCUGUCUUUAAUCUCUUAAUCCCAUCAUCUUCCUAAACUGAGGAUGUAUGUCGCCUCAGGACCCUGUGAUGAUUGCAUUAUCUGCACAAGUUGUUUGUAAAGCGUGUGUGUUUGAACAAUAUGAAAUCUGGGCACCUUGAAAGGAACAGGAUAACAGUGAUUUUCAGAGAACAAGGGAGAUAACCAUAAGGUCUGACUGCCUGCAGGACCGGGCAGAACAGAGUCGUAUUUCUCUUCUUACAGAAAGCGAAUAGGAGAAAUAUUGCGAAUUCUUUUCUCAGCAAGGAAUAGCCCUGGGAAAGGAAAGCAUUCCCAGGGGGAGGUCUCUAAAAUGGCUGCUCUGGGAGUGUCUGUCUUAUGUGGUU
rnacentral:lncRNA from 10 species